rnacentral:rRNA from 1 species
UACGGGGGGAGCAAGCGUUGUUCGGAUUUACUGGGCGUAAAGGGCGCGUAGGCGGCCAGCACAAGUCAGUUGUGAAAUCUCCGAGCUUAACUCGGAAAGGUCAACUGAUACUGUGUGGCUAGAGUGCGGAAGGGGCAACUGGAAUUCUUGGUGUAGCGGUGAAAUGCGUAGAUAUCAAGAGGAACACCUGCGGCGAAGGCGGGUUGCUGGGCCGACACGUGACGCUGAGGCGCGAAAGCCAGGGGAGCGAACGGG